CCUACGGGUGGCAGCAGUGGGGAAUAUUGCACAAUGGGGGAAACCCUGAUGCAGCGACGCCGCGUGAGUGAAGAAGUAUUUCGGUAUGGAAAGCUCUAUCAGCAGGGAAGAAAAUGACGGUACCUGAUUAAGAAGCCCCGGCUAACGACGUGCCACCAGCCGCAGCAAUACGUAGGGGGCAGGAGUGAUCCGGAUUUACUGGGUGUAAAGGGAGAGUAGGCGGCAGAACAAGUCUGGAGUGAAAUGCCGGGGCUUAAACCCGGAACUGCUUUGGAAACUGUGCAGCUAGAGUGCAGGAGAGGUAAGUGGAAUUCCUAGUGUAGCGGUGAAAUGCGUAGAUAUUAGGAGGAACACCAGUGGCGAAGGCGGCUUACUGGACUGUAACUGACGUUGAGGCUCGAAAGCGUGGGGAGCAAACAGGAUUAGAUACCCGAGUAGUC
rnacentral:rRNA from 1 species